CAUCGAAGAAGAAGGAAGACCGCACCUGAUCCUCUGCCCAUUUGGGGUGGCGCUGGACGGGUCCCAUCAAUAUCGGUCGAUCUUCCAAACAGUGCGCAUUUUAGGGGUUUCUGGACUUUUAUUUUUUUUUAUAUAGUUUUGGGCGUUGACAUGGCACAUUUUAAAGAGGGUUAAUGAGAGCAGGGAUGUAGUUAUCUUACUAGCUAUGUUUUUAGUUAGGUAACUAGUGGUUUGUAGUUUAGCCACAUGGUGUACAUGUCCAGAACUGUCAUGCGACGUGGUUGUUGGGCUAAUGCGUUGCGAUUCCUUUCGGGCAUGGAUUACACAUUUCUACAAAAGGUUUUACCCGGUUUAUUUGAACUCUGGGCAACCCAGUUCAAUUUUGAUUUAACGUCGCACGCUGGGGUUUGUAUUUAGUCACGUGUUGGAAGUAAACGUUGCUCUUCACGAGGCGUUGAUGUUUAGCACGGUGGUAAGUCAACCAAAGACGGGGAAGUAUGAAUCUCCACACCCAAGUGACGGGAGAGCCAUGUGUGACAGUGGAUCAUAUAGCACCCCUUCGACACCAAAAAGAGACAAACCCUCUGACCGUGCCGAGUGGAGAGAGAGUCAUCCUGUCCAAAUGACCUGAGAGACGUCCAUGCCUUUUUCCAGCACCUCGUCACCACACAGGUGGUAGGGAGAGAGGCUGUGUCAGAGACCCACCUUUUGGCCCUGCUCAGCCCCAGAGACCGCCUUGGGACACCUGCUUGUCUAACUCACUCUGACUUCACCACACCCAGAAUAGACUAGCCAUGUCUGCUGCUGGUGGAGACCAACAGGUCGAUACAUCUUUCAGGCAGUUUCACCAAUCAGAUGUGGACAGAGCGCCUCUAUCUCCGGUUGGUCGACAGAGACCGUUCGGCCACAAACGGCUACGACACCAAGUGGGAUGCGCCGUUUGACCCUGGGGCAGCGAGGGUUACCACACCUACACCACAGAAACAGACCAGGAUCUUACAGCCCACUACACUUCAUAGGACUUCAGUUGUUGCUGCCCACUACACUACUGGGGAAGUUUGGUAGUUGUCUGUCCCAGCCCACUAUACA